rnacentral:rRNA from 1 species
UACGGGGGGAGCAAGCGUUGUUCGGAUUUACUGGGCGUAAAGGGCGCGUAGGCGGCCACCGCAAGUCGACUGUGAAAUCUCCGGGCUUAACUCGGAAAGGUCAGCCGAUACUGCGGGGCUAGAGUGCAGAAGGGGCAACUGGAAUUCUCGGUGUAGCGGUGAAAUGCGUAGAUAUCGAGAGGAACACCUGCGGCGAAGGCGGGUUGCUGGGCUGGUACUGACGUGAGGAGCGAAAGCGUGGGGAGCGAACAGG